UCUCUGACUGCUCAGAAAAUUAUCUCUCUAGAAGGCCAACUUAAUCAUAUGACUUUCCUGCAAAAGAAAAAAGAAAAGAAAACCGCUUCACCGGCUUUGCCCUUGGGAUAAAAUACAAAAUUCUUAAUGUGACCUGUAAUUCUCACAUCGCUACUUUUUAUCCCUGUGGAUGAAAUGGCUACUGCAGCCUAAUGCACCACUCCAGAAUUCCGCGGUUUAAAAUCAUGGCUACGUAUUUCCCACCGAGUCUAUGAGUCAGCUGGCAGCCCUUCCCGUGGGGGCUGGAUGUGCUGAUCUCAGCUGCUCAUGCGUGAGUCUGUCACUGAGGGGUGAGCGGGAGCUGGCUGGCCUAGGAUGGCGUUGGCUUGUGUCACUGGCCUCUGCUGGGCAGAACUGAGAGAAACGGAGAGGGAAGAAGCGCACAGGCCUUUCGAGGCUGAGGCUCAGAAGGGUUCCGUGCUCACCAUGGCCUGUUGAGGUGAGCCGAGAUGGCGCCAUUGCACUCCAGCCUGGGUGACAAGGGCGAAACUCCGUCUCAAAGUCUUUGACCUGUUGGUCAAAGCCAGGCCAGCCCGGUGUCAGCAGCGGGGUGGCUGGAGGGGUUUAGACUCCAACGCCUGAGGACAGAAGCUGCAAGUCAAAGUGAGAAGGCCACAAGUCCCAGGAGGGUGCAGAGGUGGGUGCGUCUGCAAUCUGCCCCGCUUAGCAAGCACCUCUGCAGCUCCUGCAUUCCUCCAGCCCGGCCUCUACCCUGCACCCACCGUCUGUGCUCCCUCCCCCGCGAGAACCCUCUCGUCUGUCCUGGCCAUGCAGUGACAGUCACCUCCUCAAGGAAGCCUCCUUGGCUGCCCUGGAGCCGAUGAGUCCCCGCUGCUCCUUAGAGGCCAACAUGCCGCUCUCCUUCACAGAACUCGACAGAAUCCUAUUAGAAUACUGGCUCGCUUAAUUGUGCGUCUAGUGUCUGCCUCCCCUGCUCACCAGAAUGCAAGUUUAUGGAGCGAGGGCACAUGGGCAUCGUUGGCAUAUGUGCUCUGACCUGUAGUGAGAGCUGAGCCACUGUGUGCACUGUUACAACCUGAGUUAAUGAAGAAGGGACACCAGUUAGCACAGACACCCCAACUGCGCUAAAGCUGUUCAGAGGCAGAUCCCCUAUCAGGAUCACAUCCGGAACCUGCACCCCUGGGCUUCACUUCAGCCUGUGCCAGCCACUGCUUGCGUGAAUGUUGGAGAAGUGCUGACCUCACUACACCUCAGUUUCCCCUCUAAAGGAGAAUAAAGCUGGCCGCCUCUCAGGUUUGGAUAUGACUCACUUUUCCGUGUGUUUACAGAGCCUGCCACAUGGCAGAUACUCCGUCAAUGUUUGUCUCCUUCUCCCCUGUUCAUGGCUUCUUAUUUUUGUCUUGGCUGUGUGGAAGAAAACCCAGCACACAGUAAGUUCUCCACUUAAGAGUGGAAAAUUGGCCGGGCGCGGUGGCUCACGCCUGUAAUCCCAGCACUUUGGGAGGCUGAGGAGGGUGGAUCACGAGGUCAAGAGAUCGAGACCAUCCUGGUCAACAAGGUGAAACCCUGUCUCUACUAAAAAUACAAAAAUUAGCUGGGCAUGGUGGUGCGUGCCUGUAAUCCCAGCUACUCGGGAGGCUGAGGCAGGAGAAUUGCUUGAACCCAGAAGGCGGAGGUUGCGGUGAGUCGUGAUCGCGCCAUUGCACUCCAGCCUGGGUAACCAUAGUGAAACUCCAUCUCAAAAAAAAAAAAAGAGUGGAAAAUUAAACUGACAGCACUCUGCUGUCAGCCAACGCAGAAGAACCGAAGGGCAGACAUUUAGGGAGAAUGAAGGUCAGCUCAGCUUCUGCGGCAGAGGAGGCGCUAGGUGCAGUGGUGCAGGAACUGUGGGAGACACAGGCCUGCAAUGCGGGGCCAGGCAAAAAGGCUUGAGAGGCAUCUACCCAGGGCCAACAGCCCUGUAGCAGCCAGGCGCCAAGAAGGACAGUGCUAGUAUUUUCUCACAGUGUUUUUCUCUUAGUGAAUAUGGGGAGAAAAACUGUCAUGGGAAGCACAUAGGUGGACUCUGGACAACUCAGAUCAGCAUCUCUGAAAAAUCCUGGAGCUCUGAGGCUGGCUUUGUAGCUUCCGAAGUUAGCUCACGAUUCUCCAAGUGGUAGACAAACCCCAGUUUACAGACUUGGGCCUGCAGGUAAAAUAUAUCUGCAUGGAGACUCAGCAGCCUUUGGUUCAGGAUCGGGGAGUAGAUGUCCAUCGAUGCAGACCAAGGGCAGAUAGGACACAGCCUUGGGCCUCCAGCUCACCCCAGCUGGAGUGGAAAGCAGGUCAUGGAUGCCAGUUUCCCAGAAGCUCAAGUAUCCCAGAUUCUCAGUGCUGAGGACCGUGGCAGCCGAAGAAAGAACACACCUCUCACCCCUUUAUUCUGUGAGUUGUUCUGAAGACGUUUGCUGGGUUCCAUCUUUGGUUUUCGUCUGUCAUUAUUUGACUCCCACGUCCAAGGCCCGGAGCUACAGCACGGCCUGGCCAUGUACACUCAGAGGCUGCAGAACUGUUUGUUUUGCAACAGAGUCCUCUAUCCAUCAGUGACGUUUCUCACGUUCCUCUCAGCCUCAGAAGCCACGUGCAUGUGUGACCCUAAUCCCAUGGACUAAGUACAGGGGCAGCUGGCUCCGCCCAGGAGAGCAGGUGCUCUCACUGGACCACACGCCCACACCUGUCUCCCAGCUGUGGCAACUCUAGGGUGCCUGAAGUUUUUCAGAAGGAUGUCAGAUCUACCCGUAUUGGAGCCCCUGCUGACUCUCACCGUUGGUAAUGGCCAUCACCCUCAGUUCACAGCUUGCAUGGGUAGGUCCUUGGGUAGGUCCUUUUAUCACCAUUAUCUUAUUUAAAUACUUACAGAUCCUACAUGUCUCAUAGCCCCAAAUGUGUUAACCUCAAGAAAAGUAAAAAUAGCUUCUGUUAAGGAACAUGCUGCGGCCCCCUGGUGACGGAAGUCCUGUGGCAUGCUGAGUUAGGCUGUUCUCACACUGCUACGAAGAACUACCCAAGACUGGGUAACUGUCAAGACAAGAGGUUUACUCAGCUCACAGUUCUGCAGGCUCUAUGGGAAACAUGGCUGGGAGGCCUCAGGAAACGCUCACUCAUGGUGGAAGGUGAAAGGGGAGCGGCCAUGUCUUACACAGCCAGGGCAAGAGGAAGACAGAGAGAGGGAGGAGGAGGCGCCGCACACUUUCAAACAGCCAGCUCUCUGGAGCACUCACUAACAUGAGAACAGCAACAGGAAACCACCCCACGAUCCAGUCACCUCCCCCCGCCUCCACCUGCAACACUCUGGAUUACAAUUCCACGUGAGAUUUGGGUGGGGACACCCAAACAGGCACACGCCAACCUCUCAGCUGGGAUGGACUGGGAUGGGCUCAUUUUUAAAUGAGAUAUCAAUAAACUAUGUGAAAGCCAGGUUUAUUAAAA